ACUGUUUGACUCCAAACCAAGUAAAACUUCAUCCAUUCCUUAUAUUUUAUUUGAAAAACAAUUGCAAAAUGGAGAAGAUUCUUUGCAGCGUUCAGGAAAAACAUUAAUCAUAAUACUGCAAUCAGGUAAAGG